ensembl:lncRNA
AUCUCUUGAUGGAGAUCCCUGCUUACCUGAGGCCUUCCAAAGAUCAGAGGCAGCAGGCUCAAUGCAAUACCAACACCUGCAAAUGCUGGUGGAGACCCUCCAGCUGGGCCUUAUAGCAUGGUUGCACCUUCUAGGCUACCUGUGGCAGCAGCAGUGGAUCACCUGGUUUGUUCUUAAUACUCCUGUUAUCCCAUCCUCAACAAGCCAGUGAUUGACAGCAGUUAGACCUGCCUAGAGAAAGGAGACUGUCCUGCCUGCACCUCAAGCUGCACUCAUCUGCAGGAGCACAGCACUCAGGGAUGUAAGCUCUAUGCUUACCAGCGGGGUGGAAGAGACCAGAGCACAGCCUGGAUGUAGCUCUGGGAAGGGAAGUGGCUGGGCUCACAGGUCACAUGGGUGACAGUCCUUCUGGCUGCAACAUCAGCCAGAGCAAAGCUGACAUAGCCCUGAGUCUCCUCAUUUCCAUGUGUAGGCUGAUGUGCAAAUGGGCUCUGGCAGGAAGAGCCCCCCGGGGGGUACUAUCACACCGAUGCCCAGAUGUGUUAUGAAGAUUGUUUUUUGCAGCUUUCUCUCGAGCAUCUGAUAGCAGCCACUGUCAAGGUUGAGAUAAGGGCCUAAAGGGACGUUCAUUUGGCCUGCUGCAGCAUUUCCUGUAUUCAGUGGCCUUCUCUUCUCCCAUUCUUAUUGCAUAUAUAUAUUUUUAUCUCUUGGCUUCACGGCUCCUGUGUGUUCCCAAGCAGUGACUGUCUCUUUGUGUGUGUGCAGCUGGGCAGGGCUGAGCACACUGAUGCCAUUACUGCCAUACAAAUGGCAGUGCCCUGCCCUGUGCCCCUCCUUCUGACACAGCCCUCCCCAUCCCACAGCUGCCCCAUGCCAAGCUCACCAGCCCCAUGCAGAUGAUGGCAGCUGUCCCACUGGUCUGUGCAGGACUGUGCGGACCUUUCUACAUCCUCCUGCUGCCUUGUGCCCUAUGUCUUCCAACACCUGCAGCUCCUUUUUACCCCCAUCUUCUUCUCAGAUUUAAUUCCCUGGCAGCACAGCUCCCCACACAAGGCCCAAGCUGUCUCUUCUUAUGUGCCAGGGCAGUGGCAUCACAUCCCCCAACACAGUCCUUGAUGGCUCCGGCCAAAUGCUACUGCAACACUGCCUCACCUUCCCCAGCUACUUGUGGUAACUCUGUAGGUCAAAAAACAACAGAAAGGUGAGGUCCAAAAUUCUCCAGUGGAUUGCCAAAAUACCAUUGGCUGGAAAUUUACUCAGCGUGGUCUGAGGGUCACUCUGUGAGCUGAUUUCCCGUCUCUGCUGCCCUUCCAGUGAGAGUGCUUGGCCUCCUCAUUGUGGUCGCUCUUCCCGUAUCAGAUGUACAACACCCCCCUUCACCUGGCAGCAGCCCAUUCUCUAAGAGUUAUCAUUUAUUUUAAAGACAAGGCACUAAAUGGAUAAUGCCCAGCUUUAACAGUGGGCUCAGGACUUCAAUGUGCACUAUAAAGCAUUUGGCACACUCAAUAGCUGCCUGUCUGCUCAGCAGUGCCUCAGGGCCCCCUCAGCUCAGGGAUUCUCUGCCCUACCCCACCUCCUCCAGAGCUUUGGGGGUCAGGGUGGCUUAGCAGGGAGUGAGGAACGAAA